rnacentral:lncRNA from 1 species
AAGAUAAACACAUAUUACACCACAAUGAAAAUAUGUUUAUAAACAUGCACAUACAUUAAACGCAAGUUGACAAACAAAUUAACCUAGAGGAAGCAUAGUUUUGACCAUCUUAACAAUCAUCUAGAACACACAAGUCACAAAAAGAUAAGGACUAUUGGUUACUAUGAGAGACUUCAGAUGGUCCAGAACACACAAGUUUGUAUCUACAUACACAAAGUGCAAGCUCCAAAACACUCGAAACACCAAAUGGUCUACAAGACAAUAAGGUUCAUGAUUACAGGUUGGUUGGUCCAUAAACGCUAGAGUCAUCAUGUCCAUGUGCAUCAAUAGGUUGAGUACCUGAAAACAUUUUGCACAAAUUUGUCAAGAAAGUGGAACCAGAUGUAGGUGCACUCAUCAUGACCUUCCACAUAAUUAAAGACAGAAACAUCUAUCUAAAUAAAUGACAAGAAUACAAAACAAAAGACAGAUAAAAUUUAGUUGGUUAGCUUGUAGAAGCAAGGAUAGUGGUGAGCUCAAGCAGCUUUGAAAUAUGAUUCUUUAGAAUAAAUUAAGUUGUGUAUAAUUGUAUAUACCACCUAAAAAAUGAUGCCUUUAGUAUAAACCAGGAAGCCAGAUUUCAUAUGACAUCGCUUCGGCCGACUUUGGCAUUGUAUUUUUUUUCAAAAUCACACUACUCUAAAAUCACAGGAUUAUAGUGAUGAUUUUAAUCAACCACCAGAUACACUUGUAUCUGGGAGGAAAUUCUUUCAGUCGGCAAUUAUUUUUUAUCUACAAAUCAGAACUUAAACUUUGUUGUUGCUUCAAUAAAAACUUGCACAUUCAGUUUUAAUUCGCGAAAGAUGGGUUUCAUCUCUCAAUUCUAUUUCUAAAAGUGAACAAAUAUUCAGUGUUAAUGAGCGUGAUAUAUCACAGAAAUUGCCAUUGCUUUGCUUGGCAAAUGAUUUGGAUAAACAUAAAGUAAAAAUGAACAAUGUGCAAGUUUCUCCUACCGGCAUUCACCCCAUUGAUAUCCUGUGUGAGAAUGAGAUCAUGCGAUGCAUCAAAAUCACUAUUCCCAAUCACCGGAACAAAAUCUCUUCCGUCAGAAAAGUAAUCAGGAGAAAAAGAACUUAUGUUAACUAAGUAAAUAAGCCACUCAGAGGACCUCGAAAUAUUCUUGUAAACAUAGUGCUUAGAACAAGAUUCCAUAAGGCUUACCAACGAAAUGUCACGGUUAGUAACCAGAGUGUAAUUUGUCUUCUUCUCAAAGUGUUUCUUUCAGCAUAUGCCAACUCUGAAUAAUUUAGAAGUAACAAGAUUAUCAAAUUUGAGAGUGUUCAAGAGAAAAUGUGCAAUACUUGCUAGGCAAACUCAUAAUUAUGGAUUAUCAGGUGGAAAAAAAACAAUUCACAUAGCUAAACAACUGUUUUGGUCCUUAGAUAAACAACUUCAGAUAAUUCUUCAACUAUCCAAGGUAUAUCCCAACAAGGACAAGUCCACGGCAAUCUGUGGGAGUGUACCGUUUGUCGCGACGUGCACAGUAAACGACGGGCGGGCAGCCGGGGUUCAGCCCAACAAGGACAAGUCCACGGCAGAGAUUGUUGCCACGAAAAAGGUGUGGUUUUUUCUUGGAUCUGGAAUGCGUUUGCUGGGCGAUAUUAUUACUACGGACUACUCCCUCCAUUCCUAAAUAUAAGUCUUUUUAAAGAUGUCACUAAGGGACUACAUACGGAGCAAAACGAGUAAAUCUAUGCUCUAAAGUAUGUCAAUAUACAUCCGUAUGUAGUCUUGUAGUGAAACCUCUAAAAAGACUUAUAUUUAGAAACGGAGGGAGUACUUGCUAGAAUGUGUAUGUUUGCUGGACCGACGUCAUCUACAAAAAUCUGUCCCAACUCUAGAAGCGAUUUCUGGCCAUGGGACAAAUGCACAAGCUACACUCCGUGUAUCUGCAUGUACCAACCUGUACAGUGGCGGCUAUAUGGAUCUUCCUAUUAAUUCGCAUGGUGAAUUUCUCAGGGUCCAAUUAACCCUUAACCCUGAUGAGCUGCUUAAAGCACAAUGCUUGGGGAAGGAUUUCCUUGCCAUCAUUCAACAUCUACAGCUGACCAUGCAUCACAUUUUUCUUCUGUUACAGCAGCUGAGCAAGGGUACGGCUUCAGCAAAAGCAACCAGAGUCAUCAAUCUCUACUUGUUGUGCCAAACAUAGCUGUCCUCAUCUGUAGCCUGCAAGAAGAAUUCCCUUUAAGUGAAUGUGGCCUAAGCAAUCAUUCAAGUAUUACCUUGCAAAUUAUCUUGUCUGAACAAUCUAGAAUUGACUGCAAACAAGUCUCUAAAUUUAUUACAUCUAAUAAAUAGAAACACAAGUGGUCAGACUAACUUGCUUAAACUUGUACGUCUGUACUAUAGCCUGCUCCCUGCUGGACGCUGGAUAGUGCUAGAAGAAAAUUGUGUAUGUGAGAGCACUGAUAGAUGGAUUCAGUUCGACUAAGGAUUGGCAUGAGAGUAGAGAUCCCAACUUCAGAAGUUGAAGGAUUAAUAUAUAUCGAUCUAAUUACUACUCAUACCUUGGAUAGUUGAAGGAUUAAUAUACAUCAAUCUAAUUAAUAGAAGGCCAUUUGCUAUAACAUGAGGGAACACACACCGAAACUCAAAGAGAUCAAUGACCAAUAGAUGAUGGUGGAGCGAGACUUACCAACCGAGAAAGGCUCAUGGGGAGACCAUGGUACAAACAUAUGGUGAGCAUCAGAGUUGCAGGCUUGUUCAUAGUACUGUACUUGUAUGAAUUCUGAAAUUAGUCUAAAACUGACUACAAUGAUGGUUUUUCGCCUUCGGCAGAUUUAUGCGCCGUCGGACCAGGACGACUGGGGCAUCAAAGCCUUCCCCGACAUCGUCUCGUCCAUGCUAACAAGAGAAGCUCAAUACGGUCGUAAUCUUGGGGGUUGUUGCAUCAUGAGAUUUACAAGGGUGCAAGGGCCUUAUUUUUUAUGGAAUUGUAUAUUGUUGUUCAUAUGUGGAUUAUUGACUUGCCAAAUCAUUGACCUCCUAUAGUAUGAUCAGAUCAAUAUAAACAGUGUGGAUUCUAUUUUUUUAACAAACUCUCAUAUCAAACCAUUGGCUAGUGUUUAUAUUGGUUGGUGGUAACAUCUACCUUAUAGAUAGGUGGCUAUUUGAUCAAAAUAGAAACUCUCAAGUCCGUAGACGACCUAUGAACACAGAGGAAGGUCUCAAAAGGCGCACCAUAGGUGCGCCCCCGCCCCAAGUCUAGUUUAAAUGGACGCUACACAAGGAUGAUCUCACGGAUUCGCACAGUGGAAACAAAUGCUGAGAGGCUGAAUGCCCUAAUCAAGUGUCAUAAAAGAGGAACCAUAAGUGUGCAAACAAUCAGCUUGUAGCUUGAACACAGUCCUUGAAAUUUUGCUUAUGCAAAUGUCACAUGCUAAGGUAUGUGUAAAGUACUUAUCAUAAAUCAAUAAACACUCAGUUGGCCAGCGGAGUCUACAUCCGAAGGGUCAAUCCAGAAGCUUGGAUGGAAAAAAUAAAAUAAAAAGAGCAAAGAAAGGAGUACCGCGAGAGAUGCUCUUUCAGAUCUUCAUGCAUUUUGAGAACACGCAACACUGCAAAAUAAAAGGGCAAGUACGGGUAAGACUGUAAGUAAGUAGGGCAAGCUGCUUCGUAGAAUCGAGGUAGACGAUUCCUUGAGAGUACAAGAUAAUAAUAGCUACAACUACUGAAGAUAAAGGUCAUUACGCCGUGCACGGAUGGUCUCGAGUUUCGCGUCAUCGUCUCUUGAAUAAGUCUGCAAAGUUCAUGGAAGGGAAGGGGAGAGGCAAUUAACACAUACGCCAAAGAUUAUACAGUACCAAUCCAUCUGUAGAUGAUAUGGUAUACCAGUUCCGAUAACAAGUGUUGCCGCCGCCUCAGCUGCUCCCCGUGCUGCAAAAUGUAAUAAUGGGAUUAAACUGAAAGAACUGUGAAAUUUGAGUUCCUGAUGGAUUAAUUCGGCUAGACUAGACAUGGUAAAUGCAGCAGUAGCAACAAACAUCGUUGAGUAACGGGAGGGAGGUGGGUUUCCGGCCGGCCGUACGCAC